CAAAGAUCUGGAUUUGGAUCUGUGGAUCCAAAAGGAAAAACAAUCAGAGAUCUUCAACAGCUUAGAACUCCUCUACGAUCCCUCCACACACUCCCUCGAUCGCACAUUCCUUGAGAAGAAACAAGAACUUUGUGAGUUUCGAACUCCUCUAUUCACAGGGUUUUCACAUCACACACGGAGGAACCCUAAUUUCUUGAGUGUUUGUGGUGAUUGCAUCAAGAGCAGGGAAUUUUGAGAAGCCCAUGUUUCUUUUCACAUCCCAUCACACACGGAUUUGCUAGGACCGUACUCAAUCAGCUAGGGUUUUCAUCUUUUACAAACAAGGGGAAGCUGCGGCCGUCAAUAUGGUUCUCAA